rnacentral:misc_RNA from 1 species
AAGACUAUAGACCUGCGGAGUACCUGCGGAAGGAUCAUUACCGAGUUAGGGUUCCUCUCACGGGCCCGACCUCCCAACCCUGUGUCUAUCACACCUUGUCGUUGCUUCGGUGGACCGGUUCGGGGACUUUUGUUUCUGGCCGCCGGGGGUGUUUUUCACCCCGGGAGAGCGUCCGCCGAUGGCCCAACCGCAACUUCUUUGUUCUAAACCUGUCGUCUAAAUCAAACUUGAUAAUAAUCA